rnacentral:rRNA from 1 species
ACAAAUGAGGAAAGGCUUACGGUGGAUACCUAGGCACCCAGAGACGAGGAAGGGCAUAGUAAUCGACGAAAUACUUUGGGGAGUUGAAAAUAAGCAUAGAUCCGGACAUUCCCGAAUAGGGCAAACUUUUGAACUACUGCUGAAUCCAUGGGCAGGCAAGAGAAACCCUGGAGAACUGAAACAUCAUAGUAGCCAGAGGAAAAGAAAGCAAAAGAGAUUCCCGUGGUAGCGGCGAGCCAAAUGAGAGCAGCCUAAAUAGUGAAAAUGGGGUUGUGGGAGAGCAAUACAAGUGUCAUGAUACUAGGCGAAGCAACUUUAAUGUUGCACCCUAGAUGGAGAAUGUCCAGUAGCCGAAAGCAUCACUAGCUUACUCUCUGACCCGAGUAGCAUGGGGCAUGUGGAAUCCCAUGUCAAUCAGAAAGGACAACCUUGCAAGGCUAAGUAGUACUAUGAGGGAAGGGUGAAAAGAACCUCCAUCGGGGAGUAAAAUAGAACAUGAAAUUGUAAGCUCCCAAGCAGUGGGAGGAGCCAGGGCUCUAACCGCGUGCCUAUUGAAGAAUGAACCGGUGACUCAUAUGCAGUGUCUUGGUUAAGGCAACCCACCGGAGCUGUAGCAAAAGCGAGUCUUCAUAGGGCAAUUGUCACUGCUUAUGGACCCAAACCGUGGUGAUCUAUCCAUGAACAGGAUGAAGCUUGGGUGAAACUAAGUGGAGGUCCAAACCGACUGAUGUUGAAGAAUCAGCCGAAGAGUUGUGGUUAGGGGUGAAAUGCCACUCGAACCCAGAGCUAGCUUGUUCUCCCCAAAAUGCGUUGUGGCGUAGCAGUUGACUGGACAUCUAGGGGUAAAGCACUAUUUUGGUGCGGGCCACGAGAGCGGUACCAAAUCGAGGCAAACUCUAAAUACUAGGUAUGGCCUUAAAAUUAAAAAAGAGGGGUCAAAGUCGGCUAGUGAGACGAUGGGGGAUAAGCUUCAUCGUCGAGAGGGAAACAGCUCGGAUCACCAGCUAAGGCCGCUAAAUGGCCUCUCAGUGAUAAAGAAGGUAGGGGUGUGGAGACAGCCAGGAGGUUUGCCUAGAAGCAGCCACCCUUAAAAGAGUGCGUAAUAGCUCACUAAUUGAGCGCUCUUGCGCCGAAGAUGAAUGAGGCUAAGUGAUCUGCAUAAUCUAUGGGGUGUAAAAAUAUAUUAGUAGGGGAGCGUUCCGCCUUAGAGGGAAGCCUCUGCACGAGCGGUGAUGGACGAAGCGGAAGCGAGAAUGUCGUCUUGAUUAAAGCAAACAUUGGUGAGAAUCCAAUGCCCCGAAAACCUAAGGGUUCCUCCACAAGGUUUGUCUAUGGAGGGUAAGUCAGGGCCUAAGAUCAGGCCAAAAGGUGUAGUCAAUGGACAACAGGUGAAUAUUCCUGUACUACCCCUUCUUGGUCCCGAGGGACGGAGGAGGCUAGGUUAGCCGAAAGAUGGUUAUCGGUUCAAGAACGUAAGGUGUCCCUACCCUUUUUUCAGGGUAAGAAGGGUUAGAGAAAAUUCCUUGAGCCAAUGAUUAAAUACCAGGUGCUACGACGCUGAAGUAACCCAUGCCAUACUCCCACGAAAAGCUUGAACGACUUUGAGCAAGAGGGUACCUGUACCCAAAACCGGCACAGAUGGGUAGGUAGAGAAUACCUAGGGGCACGAGAUAACUCUCUCUAAAAAACUCGGCAAAAUAGCCCCGUAACUUUAGGAGAAGGGGUGGUGCCUUUUCACAUCAUAAAGGGGGUCACAGUGACCAGGCUUGGGCGACUCUUUACCAAAAACACAAGUCUCCGCAAGGUCAUAAGACCAUGUAUGGGGGCUGACGCCUGCCCAGUGCCGGAAGGUCAAGGAAGUUGGUGACCUGAUGAUAGAGGAGCCAGCGACCGAAGCCUCGGUGAACGGCGGCCAUAACUAUAACGGUCCUAAGGUAGUGAAAUUCCUUGUCGGGUAAGUUCCGACCCAAACGAAAGGUAUAAUGAUCUGGGCACUGUCUUGGAGAGAGGCUCGGUGAAAUAGACAUGUCUGUGAAGAUGUGGACUAUCUGCACCUUGACAGAAAGACCCUAUGAAGCUUCACUGUUCCCUAGCAUUGGCUUUGGGCCUUUCCUGCGCAGCUUAGGUGAAAGCCGAAGAAGGCCUCCUUCCGGGGGGCUCGAGCCAUCAGUGAGAUACCACUCUGGAAGGGCUAGAAUUCUAACCUUGUGUCAGGACCUACGAGCCAAGGGACAGUCUCAGGUAGUCAAUUUCUAUGGGGCGUAGGCCUCCCAAAAGGUAACAGAGGCGUGCAAACGUUUCCUCGGGCCAUACAGAGAUUGGCCCUCGGAUGCAAAGACGUAAGGGAUCUUGACUGCAAGACCCACCCAUCGAGAAGGGACGAAAGUCGACCUUAGUGAUCCCACGGUAUCGAGUGGAAGGGCCGUCGCUUAAUGGAUAAAAGUUACAAUAGGGAUAACAGGCUGAUCUUUCCCAAGAGAUCACAUUGACGGGAAGGUUUAGCACUUCGAUGUCGGCUCUUUGCCACCUGGGGUUGUAGUAUGUUCCAAGGGUUGGGUUGUUCGCCCAUUAAAUCGGUACGUGAGCUGGGUUCAAAAUGUCGUGAGACAGUACGGUCCAUAUCCGGUGUGGGAGUUAGAGCAUUGAGAGGACCUUUCCCUAGUGAGAGAGGACCGGGAAGGACGCACCUCUGGUGUACCAGUUAUCAUGCCCACGGUAAAUGGUGGGUAGCCAAGUGCGGAGCGGAUAACUGCUGAAAGCAUCUAAAUAGUAAGCCCACCAUAAGAUGAGUUCUCUCCUAUUCCCACUUCCCCAGAGCUUCCAGUAGCACAACCAAGACAAGGAUGGGUUCUCGGCCCCUGUGGGGAUGGAGCGACAAAAGUUUUUUUGAGAAUUCAAGAGAAGGUCACGGUGAGACGAGCCGUUUAUCAUUACGAUAGGUGUCAAGUGGAAGUGCAGUGAUGUAUGCAGCUGAGGCAUCCUAACAGAUCGGUAGACUUGAACCU